GCGGGUUUAUAAAGCGGGAGGCGGGCGCGGAGUGUUCUCUUUUGCGGCGCCUCUUCGUGGUCCGGUCUGUUCGCCUGGGAUCCUGCCGUCAUUGUCAGCGCCGCCAUGAAGACCGCUCUGCUCUUCUCUCCGCUCCUCUGCCUGCUCUUCCUGGGACGGGCCUGCUUGGCCGGCGACGCAGAUAUCGAGGAGGACGAGGGCGUCCUGGUGCUCAAGGCGGCCAACUUCGAGCGGGCGUUGGAGCAGCACCCGAACAUCCUGGUGGAGUUCUAUGCACCCUGGUGUGGUCACUGUAAAGCUCUGGCCCCAGAGUAUGUGAAGGCGGCAGCAAAAUUGAAAUCUGACAACUCAGAAAUCCGGCUGGCCAAGGUGGAUGCAACAGAAGAAUCAGAGCUUGCCCAACAGUUUGGUGUUCGAGGCUACCCUACUAUCAAAUUCUUCAAGAAUGGCGAUAAAUCAUCCCCUAAAGAAUACACAGCUGGCAGGGAAGCAGAUGACAUUGUCAACUGGUUGAAGAAACGCACAGGCCCAGCAGCCACUGCCCUGGCAGAUGUAGCUGCUGCUGAGAAACUGGUGGAAUCCAGUGAAGUUGCUGUGAUCGGAUUCUUCAAGGAUGCAGAAUCUGAUGCUGCCAAGCAGUUCUUGUUGGCAGCAGAGUCCAUUGAUGACAUUCCUUUUGGGAUCUCUUCCAACAGCGAUGUCUUUGCCAAAUACCAGCUCAGCAAAGAUGGAGUUGCCCUUUUUAAGAAGUUUGAUGAAGGACGUAACAACUAUGAUGGGGAGAUAACAAAAGAGAAUCUGUUGAACUUCAUCAAAUCAAACCAGCUGCCCUUGGUGAUUGAAUUCACUGAACAGACGGCACCCAAAAUCUUUGGAGGAGAGAUCAAGACCCACAUCCUGUUGUUCCUGCCCAAGAGUGUUACAGACUACCAGGGAAAACUGGAUAACUUCAAAAAAGCAGCAGAGAGCUUCAAAGGGAAGAUCUUGUUCAUCUUCAUAGACAGUGACCACGGCGAUAACCAGAGGAUCUUGGAGUUCUUUGGCCUCAAGAAAGAGGAGUGCCCUGCCAUCCGCCUCAUUACCCUGGAGGAGGAAAUGACCAAGUACAAGCCGGAUUCAGAAGAGCUGACUCCAGAAAACAUCAGGGACUUCUGCAAUAAGUUCUUGGAGGGCAAAGUUAAGCCCCAUCUGAUGAGCCAAGAUGUUUCUGAUGACUGGGACAAACAACCUGUCAAAGUUCUGGUUGGGAAAAACUUCGAAGAAGUGGCCUUUGAUGAGAAUAAGAACGUGUUUGUUGAAUUCUAUGCUCCCUGGUGCGGCCACUGCAAGCAGCUGGCUCCCAUCUGGGAUAAACUAGGCGAGACGUACAAAGACCAUGAAAACAUCAUCAUUGCCAAAAUGGACUCCACAGCCAAUGAAGUGGAGGCCGUGAAAGUCCACAGCUUCCCUACCCUCAAGUUUUUCCCCGCAGGCCCUGGCAGAACGGUUGUAGACUACAAUGGCGAGAGAACGCUGGAAGGUUUUAAGAAGUUCCUGGAAAGCGGCGGAAAGGAUGGUGGUGUAGAUGAAGAUCGUUGACCCUACUAUCUGUAGUUCUCAAGAGAUGACCCUACACUGAAUUGGCUCUUUCUCCAGCACCCAGCACCAGGAUCUGGAAGAUCUAGAGGAUGCUGAAGAGCCAGAUGCAGAAGAAGACGAUGAUGAUGCAAACACUGUAAAAGAUGAACUGUAAAGACAAGUCCAAUCUGCAUAUCCCCAGACACUACACUGUGGCUGCCACUUCAUGCAGUUAAGCAAGUCCAGAACCAACUUGAACCAGAAGGCAGAUGCUGUCUGAGAGUACAGGGAAUGGUCUAAAGUAACCCUUCAUCCUAACUUGUCUGUCAACUGAUUCCUCUACUUAAUUUUUAUUAUUAUUAUUUUCAGUUUGGAAGAGGGAUCUGCCUAGGUAGCCAGCCCUGCUGGGUCUUCUCUUUCCCCCCUCCUUUACACACUGUGAUGUACAUUUUCUUUUCCUAGAGUGUUCUGUGAUCUGGGUAGAAGCAGAUUGAAACGGCAACAUGUCCCAUUGCCUAACUCACUUUGGAGCCUCACCAGUAAUGCCGCCUUAAAACUUACUCACACUUGUCCAAAUGUCAUAAGCUGCUGUUGGCCCAGCAGGGUCUUGGAUACUGUCUCGGCUGUUUUUCAAUUCCUAUUUCUUUUUUGGGCUGCUCCGGUGUGGAGGAACCUACUGGGCUAACCACGGUGGUGGCAGUGGAAAGGGAAAUGAGCAGGUCCUCUUAACUCAUUGCAUGGUCUUGCUUCCCUUUUAUGCUGAACAGUAUAUGUAUCUCUCUCUUCCAAAGAUUAGGAUGGCAUAAAGACUGUCCUUGAGGGGGAAAGGACCCAAUUACUCCUGAGGCAAAACCUUAACUGGUGUUGCCACCUUGCCCCCUGAACAAACAAUACGACUUGCUCUUUACGCAUUUGCUUUGUGAAUGGGUCUCCCAGGCAUUUACAGAGCUGUUUGGGAAGGGGCCUACCAGAAUGAAACAAAAAGGACACUCAAUAACUAGUUUUUUUUUGUGGGGGUACUUGAGAGCCAAGGAGUGAUGGGAGGACAAGAAUGUAUGUUGACAGAAUUGGAAUUAGUUUGGAGCGUCUAUGAUGCUAAAAGGAAUGGAACUCAUUGGCCAAAUAAAAGUUGAUUUUAAUACUA